rnacentral:lncRNA from 1 species
AAAAAAAAAAAGAAACCAGCAGGGUCUCUGAAAAGAAACAAAACUACGAAUCAUAGAGAAUAAUCCCAAAUCACGAACUGGAGCAACAUCACGCAACCUAAGCCAUGGAACAUCAGGUGGUUGCGCCAGCAAAAGGUCGUCAAAAGAGCCGAAAUCCUGAGAAAGAAAGCAGAAAAUAACACCACUGAGCUAAAUUCAACUCUAAAUAAAUGAAUAAAUUCGGAUGACAAUGGGUGAGAAAAAACAAUGGAAACCUGGAAGAUAAUAAAAAAACCAACGACGGUAAAUUGAAUUCCAAUUGAGCUACACCACCGAGCAGAAGAGAGAAAGUACGAAUGCAAAACCAUGUAAAGAAAAGAGAUAGAUUAGCAUAGCGAAUCCUCUACAGGUCUCCCAAUCAGACUCAAAUCAAGCAGAAAAUUAUACCUAAACUCAUCAAUCAAAGUUGAUGGAAUGGGCCAUCGAAACCAAAUCCAGUUGAAGAGGCCAGCACGUUCGUUCAGCACCCAUCCCAACAAAACAAAACCCUGAACAUCCUGCACAACUAGCCAAGAUGGGAGCGUCUUUCCUGGGCAGCGAUCCCAGAGCACCAAUCAAGCGAGGAAGACCGGUGAAUCAAACCCAGAAUUCAUCCAAUCAGCACCCACGCCCAGAAACAGCAAGCCGAAAUAGCAGCCAGGGAUGGCAGUAAAAGAAAAGUUGGCAAGGGGCGCCAACACUGUAAAUUGAAGGGACAAAGAGAUGCACUCCCAUUGGUGGCUUCAAUUGAGAGGGAAGGGCAGGGCGGGAAACCACGUGAAGAGAGGCAGAGUGAUUUGUGCCCGUUUGGCGGCUGCGGGUGAGGUUGAUAGUCAGCCACAGAUAUUAAUGAUUGAUUAAUUUAAAAACAAAAUUUUGUUUUAAUAGGAUCUACCAUGAAUUGUGGUCGUGCCUAGAUUUAACAAAAGCAUAAUUUCUAUGCUUUGCAAAUAGCAGUUGAG